rnacentral:rRNA from 1 species
AGGCGUCUUGCUGACAGGAAGAGUGCGAAGUUUCAGAAGAACAUCACAAAGAGGGGCUCAGUGCCUGAAACUACUGUGAAGAAGGGGAAUGACUAUCCUGUUGGACCUAUCGUGCUUGGAUUCUUCAUCUUUGUGGUCAUAGGAUCAUCCUUGUUUCAGAUUAUCAGGACGGCUACUAGUGGUGGGAUGGCUUAA